UACAGAGGGUGCGAGCGUUAAUCGGAAUUACUGGGCGUAAAGCGUGCGUAGACGGUUAUUUAAGUCGGAUGUGAAAGCCACGGGCUCAACCUGGGAAUUGCAUUCGAGACUGAAUAGCUAGGGUACGGUAGAGGGAAGUGGAAUUUCCGGUGUAGCGGUGAAAUGCGUAGAUAUCGGAAGGAACAUCAGUGGCGAAAGCGACUUCCUGGACCAGUACCGACGUUCAGGCACGAAAGCGUGGGGAGCAAACAGG
rnacentral:rRNA from 1 species